rnacentral:rRNA from 1 species
GACGAACGCUGGCGGCGUGCUUAACACAUGCAAGUCGAACGGAAAGGCCCUGCUUUUGUGGGGUGCUCGAGUGGCGAACGGGUGGGUAACACGUGAGUAACCUGCCCUUGACUUUGGGAUAACUUCAGGAAACUGGGGCUAAUACCGGAUAGGAGCUCCUGCUGCAUGGUGGGGGUUGGAAAGUUUCGGCGGUUGGGGAUGGACUCGCGGCUUAUCAGCUUGUUGGCGGGGUAGUGGCUUACCAAGGCUUUGACGGGUAGCCGGCCUGAGAGGGUGACCGGCCACAUUGGGACUGAGAUACGGCCCAGACUCCUACGGGAGGCAGCAGUGGGGAAUAUUGCACAAUGGGCGGAAGCCUGAUGCAGCAACGCCGCGUGCGGGAUGACGGCCUUCGGGUUGUAAACCGCUUUCGCCUGUGACGAAGCGUGAGUGACGGUAAUGGGUAAAGAAGCACCGGCUAACUACGUG